UACGUAGGUGGCAAGCGUUGUCCGGAUUUAUUGGGUUUAAAGGGUGCGUAGGCGGUCUAUUAAGUCAGUGCUGAAAUAUCCCGGCUUUAACCGGGAGGGUGGCAUUGAUACUGAUGGACUUGAGUGCAGUCGAGGUAGGCGGAAUUGACGGUGUAGCGGUGAAAUGCUUAGAUAUCGUCAAGAACACCGAUAGUGAAGACAGCUUACUAGACUGUAACUGACGCUGAGGCACGAAAGUGUGGGGAUCAAACAGG
rnacentral:rRNA from 1 species